rnacentral:tRNA from 1 species
GAGGGCGUAGCUCAGUGGCAGAGCACGUGCUUAGCACGCACGAGGUCCUGGGUUCCAUUCCCAGCACCUCCU